rnacentral:rRNA from 1 species
AGUGAACGCUGGCGGUAGGCCUAACACAUGCAAGUCGAACGGCAGCACAGUAAGAGCUUGCUCUUACGGGUGGCGAGUGGCGGACGGGUGAGGAAUACAUCUGAAUCUACUUUUUCGUGGGGGAUAACGUAGGGAAACUUACGCUAAUACCGCAUACGACCUACGGGUGAAAGCAGGGGAUCUUCGGACCUUGCGCGAUUGAAUGAGCCGAUGUCGGAUUAGCUAGUUGGCGGGGUAAAGGCCCACCAAGGCGGCGAUCCGUAGCUGGUGUGAGAGGAUGAUCGGCCACACUGGAGCUGGGACACGGUCCAGACGCCUACGGGAGGCAGCAGUGGGGAAUAUUGGACAAUGGGCGCAAGCCUGAUCCAGCCAUACCGCGUGGGUGAAGAAGGCCUUCGGGUUGUAAAGCCCUUUUGUUGGGAAAGAAAAGCAGCAGGUUAAUACCCCGCUGUUCUGACGGUACCCAAAGAAUAAGCACCGGCUAACUUCGUG